rnacentral:rRNA from 1 species
CCUACGGGAGGCAGCAGUGGGGAAUAUUGCACAAUGGGCGAAAGCCUGAUGCAGCGACGCCGCGUGAGGGAUGACGGCCUUCGGGUUGUAAACCUCUUUCAGCAGGGAAGAAGCGAGAGUGACGGUACCUGCAGAAGAAGCGCCGGCUAACUACGUGCCAGCAGCCGCGGUAAUACGUAGGGCGCAAGCGUUGUCCGGAAUUAUUGGGCGUAAAGAGCUCGUAGGCGGCUCGUCGCGUCGGUUGUGAAAGCCCGGGGCUUAACCCCGGGUCUGCAGUCGAUACGGGCAGGCUAGAGUGUGGUAGGGGAGAUCGGAAUUCCUGGUGUAGCGGUGAAAUGCGCAGAUAUCAGGAGGAACACCGGUGGCGAAGGCGGAUCUCUGGGCCAUUACUGACGCUGAGGAGCGAAAGCGUGGGGAGCGAACAGGAUUAGAUACCCUGGUAGUCCACGCCGUAAACGUUGGGAACUAGGUGUUGGCGACAUUCCACGUCGUCGGUGCCGCAGCUAACGCAUUAAGUUCCCCGCCUGGGGAGUACGGCCGCAAGGCUAAAACUCAAAGGAAUUGACGG